UUUCCGUAGGUGAGCCUGCGGAAGGAUCAUUAUUGAAUAAACCUGAUGUGGCUGUUAGCUGGCUUUUCGAAGCAUGUGCUCGUCCGUCAUCUUUAUCUCUCCACCUGUGCACAUUUUGUAGUCUUGGAUACCUCUCGAGGCAACUCGGAUUUUAGGGUCGCUGUGCUGUACAAGUCGGCUUUCCUUUCAUUUCCAAGACUAUGUUUUUAUAUACACCAAAGUGUGUUUAAAGAAUGUCAUCAAUAGGAACUUGUUUCCUAUAUAAUUAUACAACUUUCAGCAACGGAUCUCUUGGCUCUC
rnacentral:misc_RNA from 1 species